rnacentral:rRNA from 1 species
CACUCUCGUUUAGAUUGAAGGAGUUGCUCUGAUUGAUAAACAUUUGAGUGAGUGGCGGACGGGUGAGUUAACACGUGGGUAACCUGCCCUAAAGUGGGGGAUAACAUUUGGAAACAGAUGCUAAUACCGCAUAAAACCUAACACCGCAUGGUGUAGGGUUGAAAGAUGGUUUCGGCUAUCACUUUAGGAUGGACUCGCGGUGCAUUAGUUAGUUGGUGAGGUAAAGGCUCACCAAGACCGUGAUGCAUAGCCGACCUGAGAGGGUAAUCGGCCACACUGGGACUGAGACACGGCCCAGACUCCUACGGGAGGCAGCAGUAGGGAAUCUUCCACAAUGGACGAAAGUCUGAUGGAGCAACGCCGCGUGAGUGAAGAAGGUUUUCGGAUCGUAAAACUCUGUUGUUGGAGAAGAAUGUAUCUGAUAGUAACUGAUCAGGUAGUGACGGUAUCCAACCAGAAAGCCACGGCUAACUACGUG